AAUCCAUAGGUUAAUGAGGCGAACCGGGGGAACUGAAACAUCUAAGUACCCCGAGGAAAAGAAAUCAACCGAGAUUCCCCCAGUAGCGGCGAGCGAACGGGGAGGAGCCCAGAGCCUGAAUCAGCAUGUGUGUUAGUGGAAGCGUCUGGAAAGGCGCGCGAUACAGGGUGACAGCCCCGUACACAAAAGCGCAUGUGCUGUGAGCUCGAUGAGUAGGGCGGGACACGUGGUAUCCUGUCUGAAUAUGGGGGGACCAUCCUCCAAGGCUAAAUACUCCUGACUGACCGAUAGUGAACCAGUACCGUGAGGGAAAGGCGAAAAGAACCCCGGCGAGGGGAGUGAAAAAGAACCUGAAACCGUGUACGUACAAGCAGUGGGAGCACAGGUUUACCUGUGUGACUGCGUACCUUUUGUAUAAUGGGUCAGCGACUUAUAUUCUGUAGCAAGGUUAACCGAAUAGGGGAGCCGGAG
rnacentral:rRNA from 1 species